UUAAGCGACCAAGCGUACACGGUGGAUGCCCUGGCAGUCAGAGGCGAUGAAGGACGUGCUAAUCUGCGAAAAGCGCCGGUAAGGUGAUAUGAACCGUUAUAACCGGCGAUGUCCGAAUGGGGAAACCCAGUGUGACUCGUCACACUAUCAUUAACUGAAUCCAUAGGUUAAUGAGGCGAACCGGGGGAACUGAAACAUCUAAGUACCCCGAGGAAAAGAAAUCAACCGAGAUUCCCCCAGUAGCGGCGAGCGAACGGGGAGGAGCCCAGAGCCUGAAUCAGCAUAUGUGUUAGUGGAAGCGUCUGGAAAGGCGCGCGAUACAGGGUGACAGCCCCGUACACAAAAGCGCAUAUGCUGUGAGCUCGAUGAGUAGGGCGGGACACGUGGUAUCCUGUCUGAAUAUGGGGGGACCAUCCUCCAAGGCUAAAUACUCCUGACUGACCGAUAGUGAACCAGUACCGUGAGGGAAAGGCGAAAAGAACCCCGGCGAGGGGAGUGAAAAAGAACCUGAAACCGUGUACGUACAAGCAGUGGGAGCCCCACCACCAAAGCGUUUCGCUUUGCGUGGUGCGCAAAAUGCGUAACGACAGCACGAUUGCGGUUAACGGAGCGUAAGCGACGUUCAACACAAGAAUCAGGCAGUGGAGCGUUUUGGGGUGGGGUGACUGCGUACCUUUUGUAUAAUGGGUCAGCGACUUAUAUUCUGUAGCAAGGUUAACCGUAUAGGGGAGCCGCAGGGAAACCGAGUCUUAACCGGGCGUUAAGUUGCAGGGUAUAGACCCGAAACCCGGUGAUCUAGCCAUGGGCAGGUUGAAGGUUGGGUAACACUAACUGGAGGACCGAACCGACUAAUGUUGAAAAAUUAGCGGAUGACCUGUGGCUGGGGGUGAAAGGCCAAUCAAACCGGGAGAUAGCUGGUUCUCCCCGAAAGCUAUUUAGGUAGCGCCUCGUGAAUUCAUCUCCGGGGGUAGAGCACUGUUUCGGCCAGGGGGCCAUCCCGGCUUACCAACCCGAUGCAAACUGCGAAUACCGGAGAAUGUUAUCACGGGAGACACACGGCGGGUGCUAACGUCCGUCGUGAAGAGGGAAACAACCCAGACCGCCAGCUAAGGUCCCAAAGUCAUGGUUAAGUGGGAAACGAUGUGGGAAGGCCCAGACAGCCAGGAUGUUGGCUUAGAAGCAGCCAUCAUUUAAAGAAAGCGUAAUAGCUCACUGGUCGAGUCGGCCUGCGCGGAAGAUGUAACGGGGCUAAACCAUGCACCGAAGCUGCGGCAGCGACACUAAGUGUUGUUGGGUAGGGGAGCGUUCUGUAAGCCUGCGAAGGUGGCCUGUGAGGGUUGCUGGAGGUAUCAGAAGUGCGAAUGCUGACAUAAGUAACGAUAAUGCGGGUGAAAAACCCGCACGCCGGAAGACCAAGGGUUCCUGUCCAACGUUAAUCGGGGCAGGGUGAGUCGACCCCUAAGGCGAGGCCGAAAGGCGUAGUCGAUGGGAAACAGGUUAAUAUUCCUGUACCUGGUGUUACUGCGAAGGGGGGACGGAGAAGGCUAUGUUGGCCGGGCGACGGUUGUCCCGGUUUAAGCGUGUAGGCUGGUUUUCCAGGCAAAUCCGGAAAAUCAAGGCUGAGGCGUGACGACGAGGCACUACGGUGCUGAAGCAACAAAUGCCCUGCUUCCAGGAAAAGCCUCUAAGCCUCAGGUAACAUCAGAUCGUACCCGAAACCGACACAGGUGGUCAGGUAGAGAAUACCAAGGCGCUUGAGAGAACCCGGGUGAAGGAACUAGGCAAAAUGGUGCCGUAACUUCGGGAGAAGGCACGCUGACAUGUAGGUGAAGCGGUUUACCCGUGGAGCUGAAGUCAGUCGAAGAUACCAGCUGGCUGCAACUGUUUAUUAAAAACACAGCACUGUGCAAACACGAAAGUGGACGUAUACGGUGUGACGCCUGCCCGGUGCCGGAAGGUUAAUUGAUGGGGUCAGCGCAAGCGAAGCUCCUGAUCGAAGCCCCGGUAAACGGCGGCCGUAACUAUAACGGUCCUAAGGUAGCGAAAUUCCUUGUCGGGUAAGUUCCGACCUGCACGAAUGGCGUAAUGAUGGCCAGGCUGUCUCCACCCGGGACUCAGUGAAAUUGAACUCGCUGUGAAGAUGCAGUGUACCCGCGGCAAGACGGAAAGACCCCGUGAACCUUUACUAUAGCUUGACACUGAACACUGGUCCUUGAUGUGCAGGAUAGGUGGGAGGCUUUGAAGUGUGGACGCCAGUCUGCAUGGAGCCGUCCUUGAAAUACCACCCUUUAAUGGCUGGUGUUCUAACGUAGACCCGUGAACCGGGUUGCGGACAGUGUCUGGUGGGUAGUUUGACUGGGGCGGUCUCCUCCUAAAGCGUAACGGAGGAGCACGAAGGUUGGCUAAUCCUGGUCGGACAUCAGGAGGUUAGUGCAAUGGCAUAAGCCAGCUUGACUGCGAGCGUGACGGCGCGAGCAGGUGCGAAAGCAGGUCAUAGUGAUCCGGUGGUUCUGAAUGGAAGGGCCAUCGCUCAACGGAUAAAAGGUACUCCGGGGAUAACAGGCUGAUACCGCCCAAGAGUUCAUAUCGACGGCGGUGUUUGGCACCUCGAUGUCGGCUCAUCACAUCCUGGGGCUGAAGUAGGUCCCAAGGGUAUGGCUGUUCGCCAUUUAAAGUGGUACGCGAGCUGGGUUUAGAACGUCGUGAGACAGUUCGGUCCCUAUCUGCCGUGGGCGCUGGAGAACUGAGGGGGGCUGCUCCUAGUACGAGAGGACCGGAGUGGACGCAUCACUGGUGUUCGGGUUGUCAUGCCAAUGGCACUGCCCGGUAGCUAAAUGCGGAAGAGAUAAGUGCUGAAAGCAUCUAAGCACGAAACUUGCCCCGAGAUGAGUUCUCCCUGAGACUACAAGUCUCCUGAAGGAACGUUGAAGACGACGACGUUGAUAGGCCGGGUGUGUAAGCGCAGCGAUGCGUUGAGCUAACCGGUACUAAUGAACCGUGAGGCUUAACCUU
rnacentral:rRNA from 1 species